GGAUAAAAUGGCUGAUAAUAGGCUGUAAAUUGUAAAUUUAUUAAUAGAUUUAAAAUCUUUUUAUUAA
rnacentral:tRNA from 1 species